rnacentral:rRNA from 1 species
CUUGGUGACCAUAGCGAGGGGGUCACACCUGUACCCAUUCCGAACACAGAAGUUAAGCCCCUCUGCGCCGAUGGUACUGUUCUACGGGAGAGUAGGUCGUUGCCAGGC